GACGAACGCUGGCGGCGUGCUUAACACAUGCAAGUCGAACGGAAAGGCCCUGCUUUUGUGGGGUGCUCGAGUGGCGAACGGGUGAGUAACACGUGAGUAACCUGCCCUUGACUUUGGGAUAACUUCAGGAAACUGGGGCUAAUACCGGAUAGGAGCUCCUGCUGCAUGGUGGGGGUUGGAAAGUUUCGGCGGUUGGGGAUGGACUCGCGGCUUAUCAGCUCGUUGGUGGGGUAGUGGCUUACCAAGGCAUUGACGGGUAGCCGGCCUGGGAGGGUGGACGGCCACAAUGGGACUGCGAGACGGCCCAGACUCCAACGGGAGGCAACAGGGGGGAAUAUUGCCCAAUGGGCGGGAGCCUGAUGCAGCAACGCCGCGUGCGGGAUGACGGCCUGCGGGUUGUAAACCGCUUUCGCCUGUGACGAAGCGUGAGUGACGGUAAUGGGUAAAGAAGCACCGGCUAACUACGUG
rnacentral:rRNA from 1 species